CCCACAACAGGUAUUUAUGUUAACAUCCAUAUAAACAGUAAAAUGUAAAACUUGAAAUUGAAAUAAUAAAUAAUAAUAAAUGGCUAGGUUGCAGGACAACGCUAUAACAAUACAGUGAGUGCAUUAUUACCACCAUAUUUUUCCAAUUACAAUUUCAUAGAUUCAUAAUUGGGCUUAAACUAUGUAAGGAUUUGAAGAACCAGCUUGAGAGAAUAAUAAAAGAAAUACAAAACAUAUUAAUGGUGUCUUUAUUUGGCUAAUAGGCCAGGGAAACAGUGAUUUGACAACAAUCAUGAAGUGGUAUAAAACAUGUGAUAGAUUUGUUAUGGAUUGCAGCUGUGAUUACCAUAAGAAUCUUUCAGAAUCUUAUGUAUUCGUAUUUCAUGUAAGUGCACUUGGUGAAUAGGAUUGUGAAAUUAUUUGUGUCCUAUGCAUCUCCACCAUGGGUCUUUGGGCCAAAUUGAGAAAUUCUAUUUAAACCUAUUCCUGGACAUUAAAUAGUUAUCCGUAAAUUAUCCCUUUUAUUCCAGUAAUAGGUUUAACCUGGAUCCAGGAACCUGUCCCAUAUUGCAGUGAUUGUUAUGAAAUUAACCUUUCAGAAAAUGUGUAACUGAACACUCCCCUCUCAGGUGCUUCAGACAGCAGUGAGUUAAGUCAGGAAAGAUUAAAUUAAUUCUUCCAGUUCUGGUUCUUAUUAUGCUGCUCACCUUAUCAGGAACUCAACUAAGCACCAUACCAGAAUCCUUACACGCAGGAAGGAACACACUAGCUGGGCUUGCACCUCAAGUAAGCUUAUUAGUUGUCAAGCCAACCAUAUUCUAUUGUGCUGGGCAAUUGCUCUGUGGGAUCAGUCAGGGUGUUUUGUAAAAGCACUUUGUGACAACUCUACAUGUGAAAAGGGCUUUAUAAAUACAUUUGAUUGAUUUGAAUUUGAUUGACCCCGGGGCUGGUCAAUAAGCAGGAUUCAAACCCUAGCAAUGAUGUAGCAAAAUGAGACUGUAACUUGAUAGUUGCACAUUGACCCAAACUAAUGUUCAAAGAUCCAUAGCUCAUUUUAAAACAAUAUUACAUGUUAUCACUGAGACAAAAAUACAAGUUUGUUUAUUGAGAAUUCAGUGUGUAUAAAAACUAUUAAACAAAAAAUAAUACAAAUGUUGUUUUUUAAUACUUAUCUUAAAGACUCAAUCAAGGAACCACUUGUAUUAAAAGUUUUAAAAAAGAGCAAUAAAUAAACACAAUUAUGAAUAAAUAAAUAUUAUAAAUUCUGCCCAUUCAGUGUUACACACAGCAGCACUGAAAUGCUGGUGUGUAUAACACAACACAACACAACAAUUUAGCCAUACAGAUCAGGUUGUUGUGUUUUAUCAUCAAAACAUGAUUUCUUGUCACUUGGGGAUAAUUGAAUGUAUACAAGACUGAAUAAUUCUAAUAAUAGAUGGCAUGUUUUUUAUAUUACUGAAGUAGAUGUAUUCACAGCAUGUUCUCUCCCUCUUCUUCCCGCUCUUUUCUGCAACAGCAACAGCAGUAGUGGCAAAGCCAUCGUAACACUCUGCUGAAUCUAGGUGGAGCCACUUCGGCUCCUACUACGCUAAUCUGAGCAUCUUCUUUUACUCUGUGCUCCGCUGAUGGACCCUGGAGCUCCAUUAAUGAACUGGAAUAUGUCAUGUCCACUGUUGUCUCCUCUGUUACUUGACUUAUUUUUGUUAUCAUACUGUCCUCCUCUAUUAUUGAUUCCUCCAUCAACCAUAGUCGCUCCUCUGUGGUUAAUCUGACUUCGGUUUGGUUACCUUUGUCACUUGUUUUGACUGUUUCUGUCUUUUUUUCCAUAUCAACCUGCAGUCUCUCAAUCUCUGUGAGCAUCUCCACUUUUAGUAUUUGAAGCUCCAGUUUUUUCGGCUGAUCUUCACUCAUACCUCUCUCCCACUCUUUUAGAAGAGCUUGGCUACCUCUAUGCAACUCCACCUUCACCUCCUCAAACUUUUCUUUCUCUCUUGGUAUCCUUGUUUUCUUUACCAACUCAUGGUUCUGAAUCACUACAAGUCUUUCCUGCAGAUGUUCUUUCAUUUCAUAAACUCUGUGCUUCAUCUUCUCAAUCUCUUCCCUUUCUGUCUGUACCUCUUGAUGGAUCUUUUCCAAAUACUCUCUGUUCGGGAUCCCAGUAUGUGUAGCUGUGGUUGUCUGUUUAAGCAAGUUCUCACAUUCUACACUUAGUUGAGUGGUGUCUAUGACUUGACUCUGCACAGUUUUCAGUUCUAGCUCCACUGCCCUCUUCAUUUGCAGAUCCGUCAUUUGGCCUAUGUGUCUGAGCUCCUCUUUGGCAAUCUGUAUCUCACCUCUGAUCUGUUGCAGUGCAUUCUUGCCUCUUUGUAUUUCCACCAUGUUAUUUUCAAUCUCUUUUUUCUGUUUGUCUACAACAGUCAAAAGGGAGUGUUCUUCUUCAUUAGAAAUCUUUUGUUUCAACUGUCGAGAUUCCUCAAUUUCAAGUUCUCCCUGCAUCUCCCCAGAAAAUGUUUGUGUUUCAGAAUUCACCAGCUCCACAGUUUUGUCUGUUUUUUUCAUCUCUUCUGAAUGCAUUUGUGUCGUAGCAUUUACAUAGCUCCUUUUGUCUUCAAGUUUGGACUCUUGCGUUACCAGGUUGACCUCCUCCUGCAUGUCCCCAGUUUCUUGUUUUAUCUCUGCCAUUGGCCUUAUAUCUUUAUUGUCAUCCAUCUGUGUGCUGCAUAAUACAUAAAUUGUCUCUUGCUCUAGUAUUAUUUCAGCAUUAAUACAUUGUUCUUCCUCUUUCCGUACAGCCAUCCACUUUUCCGCUUCAUCUUUUCCAGUUUCUAUCUCAGCUCUUCUCCUUUCCAGCUCAUCCAUAUCACCUGCCAUUUUUGUCUUGGCCAUGUCAAUUUCUCGCCUCUCUCUUUCCAUGUCAUCCUUUAAUUGUUCCAGUUCACACUUCUCUUUUGCUAGCAAGUCUUUUUUGUUAUCUGUUUCUUGGCGUUCUUUCUCCAGCUCAGUUUUCAUGAAUUCCAGUUUCUCUGUCUGUCUGUUGUAAUCUUUUCUCAGCCUUUCAUGUUCCUCCUUUUCCAUCUGUAUUUGUAUUGCUUGUUUCUCAACCUCCUCUUUCUUCCACUUGGUUUCCUCUGUAAGUUUUUGUAGAUUUUCUGAUUGGGAUUGAAUUGCCACCUUGUUCUUUUCCAGGUCAUUCUUUUCAUUUUGUAGCCUUAAUUUUUCUUGAUCAAAUUCCUCCCUUUUGUUUUCUAGCUCUUUCUUUUUUAUAUUUAGCUCUUCUAUUUUACUUUCAAUGUCUUGUCUCUGUUGUUGUAUUACUGUGUUGAUUUGUUCUAGUUGUUCUUUCUGCUUGCUGAUUUCCUCCUUCAUACUUUGUUCUUCCUCGGUCAGUUCUGCCAUCCACUUUUUCGCUUCAUCUUUUCCAGUUUCUAUCUCAGCCCUUCUCCUUUCCAGCUCAUCCAUAUCACCUGCCAUUUUUGUCUUGGCCAUGUCAAUAUCUCGCCUCUCUCUUUCCAUGUCAUCCUUUAAUUGUUCCAGUUCACACUUGUCUUUUGCUAGCAAACCUCUUAUGUUAUCUGUUUCUUGGCGUUCUUUCUCCAGCUCAGUUUUCAUGAAUUCCAGUUUCUCUGUCUGUCUGUUGUAAUCUUUUAUCAGCCUUUCAUGUUCCUCCUUUUCCAUCUGUAUUUGUAUUGCUUGUUUCUCAACCUCCUCUUUCUUCCACUUGGUUUCCUCUGUAAGUUUUUCUAGAUUUUCUGAUUGGGAUUGAAUUGCCACCUUGUUCUUUUCCAGGUCAUUCUUUUCAUUUUGUAGCCUCAGUUUUUCUUGAUCAAAUUCCUCCCUUUCGUUUUCUAGCUCUUUCUUUUUUGUAUUGAGCUCAUCUGUUUUUCUUUCAAUGUCUUGUCUCUGUAGUUGUAUUUCUGUGUUGAUUUGUUCCAGUUGUUCUUUCAGCUUGCUGAUUUCCUCCUUCAUUCUUUGUUCUUCCUCGGUCAGUUCUGCCAUCCUCUUUUCCGCUUCAUCUUUUCCAGUUUCUAUUUCAGCUCUUCUCCUUUCCAGCUCAUCCAUAUCACCUGCCAUUUUUGUCUUGGCGUUGUCAAUUUCUCGCCUCUCUCUUUCCAUUUCAACCUUUAAUUGUUCCAGUUCACUGACUUCUCUUUUGCAAGCAAGUCUUUUUUGUUUAUCUGUUUCUUGGCGUUCUUUCUCCAGCUCAGUUUUCAUGAAUUCCAGUUUCUCUGUCUGUCUGUUGUAAUCUUUUAUCAGCCUUUCAUGUUCCUCCUUUUCCAUCUGUAUUUGUAUUGCUUGUUUCUCAACCUCCUCUUUCUUCCACUUGGUUUCCUCUGUAAGUUUUUCUAGAUUUUCUGAUUGGGAUUGAAUUGCCACCUUGUUCUUUUCCAGGUCAUUCUUUUCAUUUUGUAGCCUCAGUUUUUCUUGAUCAAAUUCCUCCCUUUCGUUUUCUAGCUCUUUCUUUUUUGUAUUGAGCUCAUCUGUUUUUCUUUCAAUGUCUUGUCUCUGUAGUUGUAUUACUGUGUUGAUUUGUUCCAGUUGUUCUUUCUGCUUGCUGAUUUCCUCCUUCAUACUUUGUUCUUCCUCGGUCAGUUCUGCCAUCCACUUUUUCGCUUCAUCUUUUCCAGUUUCUAUUUCAGCUCUUCUCCUUUCCAGCUCAUCCAUAUCCCCUGACAUUUUUGUCUUGGCGUUGUCAAUAUCUCGCCUCUCUCUUUCCAUUUCAUCCUUUAAUUGUUCCAGUUCACACUUCUCUUUUGCUAGCAAACCUCUUUUGUUUUCUGUUUCUUGGCGUUCUUUCUCCAGCUCAGUUUUCAUGAAUUCCAGUUUCUCUGUCUGUCUGUUGUAAUCUUUUAUCAGCCUUUCAUGUUCCUCCUUUUCCAUCUGUAUUUGGAUUGCUUGUUUCUCAACCUCCUCUUUCUUCCACUUGGUUUCCUCUGUAAGUUUUUCUAGAUUUUCUGAUUGGGAUUGAAUUGCCACCUUGUUCUUUUCCAGGUCAUUCUUUUCAUUUUGUAGCCUCAGUUUUUCUUGAUCAAAUUCCUCCCUUUCGUUUUCUAGCUCUUUCUUUUUUAUAUUGAGCUCUUCUAUUUUACUUUCAAUGUCUUGUCUCUGUUGUUGUAUUACUGUGUUGAUUUGUUCUAGUUGUUCUUUCUGCUUGCUGAUUUCCUCCUUCAUACUUUGUUCUUCCUCGGUCAGUUCUGUCAUCCACUUUUUCGCUUCAUCUUUUCCAGUUUCUAUCUCAGCCCUUCUCCUUUCCAGCUCAUCCAUAUCACCUGCCAUUUUUGUCUUGGCCAUGUCAAUAUCUCGCCUCUCUCUUUCCAUGUCAUCCUUUAAUUGUUCCAGUUCACACUUCUCUUUUGCUAGCAAACCUCUUAUGUUAUCUGUUUCUUGGCGUUCUUUCUCCAGCUCAGUUUUCAUGAAUUCCAGUUUCUCUGUCUGUCUGUUGUAAUCUUUUAUCAGCCUUUCAUGUUCCUCCUUUUCCAUCUGUAUUUGGAUUGCUUGUUUCUCAACUUUUUCUUUCUCCUUCUGUCUUUCCUGAAUACAUUUUUCUAGGUUUUUACUUUGGGUUAAUAUCACCACCUUUUCCUUUUCCAGUUCAUUCUGUUCUUUUAUAAUGAUCUCCUUUUGUUGAUCAAUUUUUUCUUUUAGGGUUUGCAUUUCUUUUUUUUGAUUGUUUGUCUCUCUUAUACAUUUUUCCAACUCAUUCUUUUUGACAUUUACUUCCUUCAUCUGGCUCUUAAGGUCUUCUCUCUCCCGUUGUAUUUCAGUUUUCAAGUGUUCUAGGUUGUCUUUCAUCUUGUAGUCAUCUUCUUUCAAACAUUGCUCUUCUUCUUUCAACUCUGGCUUCCACUUGUCUGUUUCAUGUUCGCCUCUUUCUGUUUGAGCCUUUUUUUCUUCUAACUGCUUUAUUUCAAUCACUAUGUUUUCUUUGGCUAUGUCAAUUUCUUCUCUCUCCUUUUUCAUAUCAGCCGUCAUUUGUUUAAUUAUCAGUUUUUCUCUUAUUUGGUCUUCCAUAAGGUUUUGUAUUGCCAUUCUCUCACUCUGAAUCUCAGACUUAAUUUGCAUAAGCUUAUUUUUCUCCUCAGCUAUCAAUCUUUUUUCAUUCUCCAUCUCUUCUUUCUCUCUUCUAAUCUCACUAUUUAGCAACUUUAAAUGUUUAAUUUUUGUGUUACUCUGUACAAUGACCUUUUCACUUUCCUCCCUUUGCUUUUUAAUUUUUGCUGUCAUUUCUUUUUCUAAUAAAGCCUUUUCAUUCAAUGUUAUUGUUUUUAUUUCAUCCAAUUGUGUUUUCUGCUUAUCCAUUUCAUUUUUUUCUUUUUCUAAUUCUAACAUUUCAGUAUGUAUUUUUUCCAUUUGUGUGUCAAUUUCUUCUUUUUGACUUUUAAGCUUUUCAGUAAUUUUUUCAUUAUAUUGCGUUUCCAUGUUUGUCUUGUUCGUAAUAGCGUUCAACUCCUUUUGACGAUUCUGUAAUUCCACUUCAAACUGUAAAAGCUUAUCCUUUUCUUUUUUUAAGUUUUGUUUGUCUUGCAUUAUUUGCUCCCUUUCUCUUGUGAUUUCCGACAUUUGUUCUAACUCAAAAUCUUUUUGUGUUUCUGUUAUAGUUUUUUCUGUAUAUGUUGUCCUUUCAAGACCUCUUUUCAGAAUUUCCAGUUCUACUCUUUCCUUUUUCGGCUUCCCCCUCAAAUGAUCAUAAUCUUCAUCUCUUUGUGUUUUCUUCUCUUGGAUUCCAGGCCUACUCUUUGACAGAUCCCAUUUUGUUAGAUCAAUUAUGGAAUACAUUUUUCUACUUUCUUGAUCAGUGCUCAUUUGUUCCAGGUGUUCCUGCUCUUCCUUUUGGCUUUCCUUGUGAGAUUCCAUCUCCUCUCUCUGUUGCUGUAUUUUACUCUUGAUGUGUUCCAGUUCCUCUCUUCCCUUUUUUAGUUCAUCAUGACUCUUGUCAAUGUCUCUUUUUUGUCUUUCAAUUUUCUCGUUCAAGAGUUCAAGCUCUUUUUGAUUUUGUUUAGUCUCUUCCAUAACAUACUCAGAUUCUUCUUGUUCUUGUUUUUGAAUUUUGACAUCUGUUUCUUCGUCUUUCUGUAUGUGAAUCUGUGCUUUUAAAUAUUCCAUCAUGACCUAAGCAAAAAUAAAUUUGAGAUUAUGUUCUAACCUUUCAGGCACUUUACAUGGCAAUUACAUUUUGU
ensembl:lncRNA